rnacentral:rRNA from 1 species
CCUACGGGUGGCAGCAGUGAGGAAUAUUGGUCAAUGGGCUUACGCCUGAACCAGCCAAGUCGCGUGAGGGAAGACUGCCCUAUGGGUUGUAAACCUCUGUUGUCAGGGAGCAACGCCGGCUACGUGUAGCCGGACGGAGAGUACCUGAAGAAAAAGCAGCGGCGAACUCCGUGCCAGCAGCCUCGGUAAUACGGAGGAUGCGAGCGUGAGCCGGAUUGAUGGGGUUGAAUGGGAGCGUAGAUGGGUUGUUAAGUCAGUUGUGAAAGUUUGCGGCUCAACCGUAAAAUUGCCAUUGAUACUGGCAGUCUUGAGUACAGUUGAGUUAGGCGGACUUCGUGUUGUCGCGG